rnacentral:tRNA from 1 species
GCGGGUGUAGUUCAGUGGUAGAACGGUAGCCUUCCAAGCUACACACGGCAGUUCGAUUCUGCUCACCCGCUCCA